rnacentral:rRNA from 1 species
GACGAACGCUGGCGGCGUGCUUAACACAUGCAAGUCGAACGAAGUGGCGAACGGGUGAGUAACGCGUAUAAAACCUGCCAUUCAGGGGGGGACAACAGUUGGAAACGACUGCAAAUACCGUAUACUGAAGGGGGUGUGUGCGUUUGAUUAGCUAAUUGGGGGGGAAACGGCCAACCAAGGCGAUGAUCAGUCGCCGGUCUGGGAGGGUGAACGGCCACACUGGGACUGGGACACGGCCCAGACUCCUACGGGAGGCAGCAGUAGGGAAUCUUCCGCAAUGGACGAAAGGCUGACGGAGCAACGCCGCGUGAGUGAUGAAGGCCUUCGGGUUGUAAAGCUCUGUUAAUCGGGACGCGGUACCGGAAUAGAAAGCGACGGCUAACUACGUGCCAGCAGCCGCGGUAAUUC